UGAGUUAUGCCUGAAGUGCAUGACUUGAUCUUUAUUUUUAAUACUAUGGCCUUGGUACAGGUUGAACUUCAAAAACUAUCAUUAUGUCCUGGUCUUUGUUUUUGCCAUCGAGGAGAUCAACAGGAGCCCCCAGCUGCUCCCCACCCUGUCUCUGGGUUUCCAUGUCUACAAUUCCUUCCACAGUGAUGUCAGCACCUUGGUGAGCACCCUGAGGUGGUUAUCGGGAUGGGGUCAGAUGAUCCCUAAUUACACCUGCCAGGCACAGAACAAGAAUGUGGCUGUCACUGCAGGAACCACACCAGCAUUCUCUGCCCACAUUGGGACACUGUUGGAGCUCUACAAAAUACCACAGAGAACUCAAUAUGGAACACUUUUUCUCUUUUGAUUCAGACAACCUAUGGAGAUUUUGAUCCUGUACUGAAAGGAACUGAAUGUGGAAAUUUUUGGAGUGUCCAUUCAAUGCCUCCCUGGAGUCUCUGCCAAAGGAAA